CCUACGGGUGGCAGCAGUGAGGAAUAUUGGUCAAUGGGCGUAAGCCUGAACCAGCCAAGUCGCGUGAGGGAUGAAGGAUCUAUGGUUCGUAAACCUCUUUUAUAAGGGAAUAAAGUGUGGGACGCGUCCCGCUUCGCAUGUACCUUAUGAAUAAGGAUCGGCUAACUCCGUGCCAGCAGCCGCGGUAAUACGGAGGAUCCGAGCGUUAUCCGGAUUUAUUGGGUUUAAAGGUUGCGUAGGCGGCCUUUUAAGUCAGCGGGGAAAGUCUGUGGCUCAACCAUAGAAUUGACGUUGAAACUGGGGGGCUUGAGUAUGUUUGAGGCAGGCGGAAUGCGUGGUGUAGCGGUGAAAUGCAUAGAUAUCACGCAGAACCCCGAUUGCGAAGGCAGCCUGCCAAGCCAUGACUGACGCUGAUGCACGAAAGCGUGGGGAUCGAACAGGAUUAGAUACCCUGGUAGUC
rnacentral:rRNA from 1 species